AGCCACUCACACAGCAGCAGCACAAUGAUGAUGUCACUGACUCUCCUGCUGGCCACCCUGGGGCUCCUUGUUCAGGGUUCAUCAGGAGAAAAAGUCCUGACUCAGACUCCUGGAUCUCAGUCUGUUGUUCCAGGACAGAGUGUCUCUAUCAGGUGUGAAGCCAGUUCAAGUGUUAGCACAUGCCUCAACUGGUACCUUCAAAAAGACAGAGAAUCUCCCAAACUCUUAAUUUAUUACGCUACAAGCCGUCAGUCUGGAGUUUCAGAUCGUUUUAGUGGAAGUGGAUCUGGGACUGACUUCACUCUGAGUAUCAGCAGAGUUCAGGCUGAAGAUGCAGGAGUUUAUUACUGUCAGCAGUGUAACAGCUUCCCGUUCACACAGUGAUACAACGUCGUACAAAAACCUCCCUCAGCUGGAGAGGAACUGAGAAGAAGAGAAUCUGAAUCAGUGGCUGCUCAGAAACAUGAAGCACUUCAUCAUUUAGCAAUCAAACAGACAUCAAUCACAACAUCUCCAACAUUUGUUUUAAUAUUUUUAUUUAAAUGUAUC